AACGCUAGCUACAGGCUUAACACAUGCAAGUCGAGGGGCAUCAGGGUAGCAAUACCGCUGGCGACCGGCGCACGGGUGAGUAACACGUAUCCAACCUACCGUUAACUCGGGGAUAGCCUUUCGAAAGAAAGAUAAAUACCCGAUAGUAUAUUUUCUUCGCAUGUUGAAAAUAUUAAAGAAUUUCGGUUAUCGAUGGGGAUGCGUUCCAUUAGGCAGUUGGCGGGGUAACGGCCCACCAAACCUACGAUGGAUAGGGGUUCUGAGAGGAAGGUCCCCCACAUUGGAACUGAGACACGGUCCAAACUCCUACGGGAGGCAGCAGUGAGGAAUAUUGGUCAAUGGACGAAGGUCUGAACCAGCCAAGUAGCGUGAAGGAUGACUGCCCUAUGGGUUGUAAACUUCUUUUAUAUGGGAAUAAAGUUCUCCACGUGUGGAGUUUUGUAUGUACCAUUAUGAAUAAGCAUCGGCUAACUCCGUGCCAGCAGCCGCGGUAAUACGGAGGAUGCGAGCGUUAUCCGGAUUUAUUGGGUUUAAAGGGAGCGUAGGUGGACUGGUAAGUCAGUUGUGAAAGUUUGCGGCUCAACCGUAAAAUUGCAGUUGAUACUGUCAGUCUUGAGUACAGUAGAGGUGGGCGGAAUUCGUGGUGUAGCGGUGAAAUGCUUAGAUAUCACGAAGAACUCCGAUUG
rnacentral:rRNA from 1 species